CGACCGGCGCACGGGUGCGUAACGCGUAUGCAACCUACCUUUAACGGGGGAGUAACAACUGAGAAAUUGGUACUAAUACCCCAUAAUAUCAUAGAAGGCAUCUUUUAUGGUUGAAAAUUCCGAUGGUUAGAGAUGGGCAUGCGUUGUAUUAGCUAGUUGGUGGGGUAACGGCUCACCAAGGCGACGAUACAUAGGGGGACUGAGAGGUUAACCCCCCACACUGGUACUGAGACACGGACCAG
rnacentral:rRNA from 1 species